rnacentral:rRNA from 1 species
AUAACUAAGCGGAGGAAAAGAAACUAACCAGGAUUCCCUCAGUAACGGCGAGUGAAGCGGGAAAAGCCCAGCACCGAAUCCCCCGGCCGCACGGCCGGCGGGAACUGUGGUGUGCGGGACGCCACCAGCCGCGCGGGCGGGCGCCGAAGUCCUCCUGAUCGAGGCCUCUCCCACGGCGGGUGUAAGGCCUUUGCUGGUGCCGGCGCGCGCGGCCGCGAGCGUCCCAGGAGUCGGGUUGUUUGGGAAUGCAGCCCAAAGUGGGUGGUAAACUCCAUCUAAGGCUAAAUACUGGCGCGAGUCCGAUAGCGGACAAGUACCGUGAGGGAAGGUUGAAAAGAACUUUGAAGAGAGAGUUCAAGAGUACGUGAAACUGCCCAGAGGUAAACGGGCGGACCCGCAAAGUCGGCCGGCGGAAUUCAGCCCGGCUGGGGGAGGGGAGCUGGCGUGCGCGGAUCUUCGGACCGUCGCGCCGGCUCUGCCGCUUCCCUGCCGGGUGCACUUUCCGCUGGCCGAGCGCCACGACCGGCUCCCGGCCGGCCAUGAGCCCGGCGAGGAAGGUAAGCGGACGGCCGUCUUCGGGCGAUCGUCUGCCGUUAUAGCCUCGCCGCGGAUCGGGCCCGGCUUCGAGGGGGCCGAGGGACUUCCGCGCCCCGGUACGGGCGGCCGGGCUGAGGGUAGGGGCUUCGACUGGCGGGGACUGGGCAACCGUGCCCGCCGACCGCCCCUGCUCGACGGCCUGGCUGGUCUCGGGGCGCUGCGGGUCAGUGGCGACAACGUCGGUGAUCCGCCCGACCCGUCUUGAAACACGGACCAAGGAGUCUGGCGCGCGCGCGAGUCGCGGGGUCGUACGAAACCCGCAGGCGCAGUGAAAGCGAGGGCCUCCUCCGGAUGGCCCAGGCGGGAUCCUGUCUCCCCUCGGGGUGGCGGGCGCACCGCCGGCCCGUCCUGGCCGCGUUGUCGGCGGGGCGGAGCGAGAGCGCGCGCGCCGGGACCCGAAAGAUGGUGAACUAUGCCUGAGCAGGGCGAAGCAGGGGAAACUCUGGUGGAGGCCCGCAGCGAUUC